UACCAAAGCAAUACUGUUUGUCUGUAGAAAAAACUCUUACUAAGAAAUGUAUUAAUUGGGAGAGUAUAAAAAUGGGGCAGCAGGUAGCCUAGUGGUUAAGAGCAUUGGGGCAGUAACCAAAAGAUCACUGGUUUGAAUGAGCACACAACUGUACAUGAGAUGAGCAUUAAAAAAAGCUUUAUUUUUGCAAUCCUGGAAUUUGCCAUAGAAAGGAGUAAUUUUCGUGGCACUCUACAACGGUGCAACUUUCUGACAUUUGAAGAACAUUUCACCAUCGCAGGACAGCAGAGCUUUGACUGGACCCCUCUAUCCCAGCACCAGUGUUCUAUACACACAGACACAUCAAUGAAGUAUAGACAUACUGUUGAUAUAGAAAUACAAGAUAAAUAUAGUGAUACAUGCUGUAGAUAUGAUAGAUAUGCUGUAGAUAUGGUGUAUAGAUAUAGUGAAACCUAGAUACUGAAGCCAUGUUCGCUCUAUAUGCCACAGCUCUCCUCUGCUUCCUGUCUUCGAGCCAAUCAGCUCCUGCUGCUGCUCUAGGCUGUGAGGACCUCCUUAAGCCCAUGGAUCCACCAUGACUAGACCAGCAGCUCUUGGGAAGAUGGGCCCUCGUCGCAGACAGUAGAUAAGACAGUCACCAUGGUGUUUACAUCUGCUACCAACACCAGAACCGGAACCGGCAUGGUGGCUGGUGCAAGUAGUGUAUAUACCCGACAGCAUCUCCAUUGUCAACGGCAACAGCACCUUCCAGUUAGACAUGAGGGGCUUUUGGAACAUCACUGGGGUCUCCCUGGAGACCUCCUGCCCAGACUGCCUGGUGAUGAGCCAAUCAGCUCCUGCUGCAGCUCUAGCCUGUGAGGACCUCCUUAAGCCCAUGGAUCCACCACGACUAGACCAGCAGCUCUUGAGGAGAUGGGCCCUCGUCGCAGGCAGCUUGAGCCACCCUGCAUCCCUGGAGAGUCUCAAGACCAGAGACGGCAUCACCAUGGAGUUUUCACCCUCUACCCCCAACACCACCCAGAACUCCAACACCGCCACAACCGUCCACUACACCCAGACUAACCGUUUUGGCAGCCGUUGCGAGUCUCUAACCUACAAUAUCUCACUCAUCAACGACAACAGCACCUUCCAAUUCAACGUGGGGGGCCGAUUCAACCUCACUGGGGUCUUCCUGGAGACCUCCUGCCCAGACUGUCUGGUGAUGAAGUGGGUCAUUUAUAGAAUUGUACAUUUGAGCCAUUUAGCACACACUCUUAUCCAGAACAACUUACUGUUAGGGGUUAUUCCAGUGUUUUUCAACUCUGGUCCAGGUGUACCCACGUUUCUGUUGGAGAUCCACACAAACACACCUGAUUCUACUAGUCAACUAAUCACCAAGGCCUUGACAAGUUGAGUCAGGUGUGGUUGCCCAGGGCUACAGCAAGAAUGUGUACUGUUGGGGGGUAGAUUAGGGCUGGAGUUGAGAAACACUGGUGUAGGCUAUUCAGGUCAGGUAGGUAGAAACAACCACAUACUGCAUUACAAUCACUGCAAGUAAACCGUUCUUCAAAACACCCACUGGGCACAGAAGUCAUUUCACUGAAAUGACCCGUAACCCUAACCCUAACCCCUGAAAUGACCCCAAACCCUAACCCAAACCCUAACCCCUGAAAUGACGUGGAAACAACAUUGAUUCAACCAGUGUGUGCCCAGUGGAUAGCCUCUAUCCCCCUCAAACUCAACUCUGGACCUCUAAUCAGGGACUGAUUUAGACUUGGGACACCAGGUGGGUGAAAGUAAUUAUCAGGUAGAACAGAAGAACCAGCAGGCUCUGGAUCUCGUAGGGUAAGAGGUGAAUACGCCUGCUCUAUCAGCUAAACCAGUGCCAGGAAGAAGAACAAGUGCCGGUGUGAGUACAAGGAAAGUACAACAGUAAAGUAUCAUUAUUAUUUUAGGUGGGAGGUGAGCUCCAGGAGGAGGGAGUCCACGGACCUGUACCUGCUGAGGAAGACGGAGGGUGGGAGAGAGGUGGAGGAAGAGGAGAUGGAAGAGUUCAGGAAACAGGUGGAGUGUAUGGGGCUGCCGCCGCCAGUGGUGAUGGAGCCGGGGGAUGCCCACUGUGGGUCCUAUCAGCUGCCCUGGAAACACUGAGGAGGAGGAGAAGACGAAGCUCGAUCAGAGUGAUCCGAGAGUGGGGGCCGUGAGACCGAUGUAGAGACACGUUUUCUGUCGUCUGUUUUGUAAUCCAACAUUUCUGUGUUUACUGUUUGUCGAUGACCUGUAGAAUUUUGAGGGGGGGAAAAAGAUGCACGAUUUGUCAUAUUAUUCUGUCUUCUUUGCUUCUUUAACAGAUGUAAUUACGUUCACAGACUGAUUUAAUGUCCCAGAGCUGCAGCUAAUUCACAGAGACAGUGGGAUCCAGCAGGAAUGUCGGGGCGUCAUUAGGACUCUAUGCACAAUGGGAAAGAAAAGUCUUUUAGAAUUGGAUUCCUUUUGUAUAAUUUGGCAUAACCUCAUUUUUCCACGUGCAUUAAAGUGCUCAUACUGUUAAUUCUCAGAUUAAACUGGAUGGAACCGUGAACAAUUUGUCAUUUGUGAGUGAGAGAGUGUUUCUGCAGAUGUGGGCGUGCACAAGCAAGGGG
ensembl:lncRNA